UUUAUUUUAUCACACAUCACUAUCUACCCAUGUUCUACCCAACAUAUUUGUAGAUAAAAAUACAUAUACAGUUUAAAACUUGUAUAAAACAUCAACUCAAUAGUCACCUCAAAUAAACAAUUAAUAUAUUUACACAUAACACGUAUUAUAAGGUAAAUACUUCAUAUUUAUGUGUAAAAUGAAAGUGACUAUACACUCACAUGAUUUGAUGAUAAUCGGGCAGCAAUUCGUUUCCUAAAACGAUCGUUUCUAAUAAAACUGGGAGUUUUAUUGAGAAACCGGGCUCUGCAAAGGUCGGGCUUCGAAACCGAAAAGAUAAAAUUUUCGGGCUUCUCGGGCACUUCGUGGAGUGUUCCGGGCUUUGGAAUAAGUACCAGGGCUUCGGGGGAUGUGAAAAUAGCUAAAAUAGUGAAAAGGGGGUUAAAAGUGGCAAUUUCAAAAUUCUAGCUGGGAGGGUUCGCACCCUCCUAUUUAUAGGAGCGAGCUUCUGAUCGGACGGCUGAGAAGCUUCCAGGUGGCGAAGAUCCGAAGGCUCGCAGGGGAGGGCUCGCACGUGGGCUACGCGUGCGAAGGCUUGUUGUCCUCUCCUGAUUGUACCGAAGUCUACUGGUCCGAAGUCGGCUUGGUGGUGGGGUCCGCAAGCGAGGGUGCGCAGGUGGCAAUACGUGCGAAGGCCUCGGUGGCAGUUGCUGAUUGGACCGCGGAGAAGUGACCCAUGUGCGAGGCUCGGACACGAGGAAUGGAACACAGGUCGGAUCCUCACUGGACCACUUCGGAUAAGGCCACGUGCUCGGAUGACUCAGCAGCUCGGAUGACUCAGCAGGACAUGUGGCACAUGCGAGGCGAAGGUGACGUGGCAACUUGUGACUAUGCAAAUUUUCUCGAUUUUCGCGCCAAAACUUCUAAAAUCCAUAACUUUCAUAUACGAGCUCCGUUUUUGACGUUCUUUAUAUGCACGCAUAGCUAAAAUUACGCUCUACAACUUCCGUUUAGACUUCGUCAGCUAACUUUGAAUUUAAUUUUUAUAUUAUUACUUUUAAUCGACCGGGACAGGAAAUCCGUUAAAAAUUCAUAACUUCUUCAUUUGACAUCCGUUUUUGUUAGACUUUUUACCGUUGUGCUACUAAUAACAAUACCUUCGAUUCGCAUUUAGGUUGUGUCGGCUAAAAAUCGCUCGAUCUAAAAUUCGAGUUUUUUAGCUGUCUACUACUAAGCUGAAACUUCGAAAAACCAUAACUUCCUCAUACGAAGUCAAAUUUGGGCGUUCAUUUUAUCGAACUUCUCGGUUUAACGAAUACUACGACUUUCGUUUAGAUUACUAAGGCUAAAAAGUAGUUUAUCAAAAACUCACUUUUUACGACAUUCUUUGCUGUGUCGGUUUUGUCGCGAAACUUCGAUAGAUCAUAACUUCUUCGUUAUAACUCAGAUUUUGGUAUUCUUUAUAUCCCCGAAAUCCUUGUUUCGACCACUACAACUUUAUGUAAAGAUAUAGGGCUUAUCUCACUCUUUAAUUUUGAUGCUUAUUUUUAUUCUUAAUUAAUUAAGCCCUAAUAAUUAAGCAUAAAACACAUAAUUCACAUAAUAUUCACAUAAUUCCUUUUCAUUUCUUCAAAAUGAGUUACAAAGGUUAACCUAGAAUAUCACCUCAAUAUAAAUGCCUAGGCUAGAACCACGAGUGUUACAAUUCUCUCCCCCUUAGGAUGAUUCCGUCCCCGGAAUCAUAUAUCACCAAACAAAUGCGGGUAGCGACUCAUCAUGUCACUCUUCGUUUCCCAAGUGAGAUUUGGUCCAUUCGUAUGUUUCUAGAGCACAAGCACUAAAUCAACCAUCUUGCGUCGCAACUUCAUAGUCUUACGGUCAACGAUUCCCUCAGGUUCUUCGAUUAACCUCUUGUUUUCAUUCAACCUUAACUCAGAAAUCGGAAGUAUGUCGGGCACAUCUCCCAUGAACUUUCUCAAAUAACACACGUGAAAGGUGUUAUGAAUACCCUCCAGUUCUUCCGGUAACUCUAGCUUGUAAGCUUGAUUCCCGAUCUUCUGAAGAACUUUGAACGGUCCAAUAAACCUUGGACUCAACUUUCCUCGUUUCCCAAAUCUUAUAAGUCCCUUCCACGGCGAGACUUUAAGUAAAACCGAAUCUCCAACUUCAAAGGUUAUCGGUUGUCUUUUCUUGUCAGCAUAACUCUUUUGUCGAUCUUGAGCAGCUAACAUCCUUUCCCUUAUCACUUUCAACUUUUCAGCAGUCUGAUGGACUAUUUCAGGUCCCAUAAACUGCUUUUCCUCAGCUUCAAGCCAACAUGACGGCAUUCAACACUUUUCCCCAUACAAAGCGUGAUAAGGUGCCAUCUUGAUGCUUGAGUGGAAACUAUUACCUUAGAAAAAUUCUACUAAAGGUAAAUCUUCAUCCCAGUUACCUUGGAAUUCCAGGGUACAUGCUCUCAGCAUAUCCUUCAAUGUUUGAAUCGUUUAUUCACUCUGACCAUCGGUUUGUGGAUGGUAAGCUGUAUCCAAACACAACUUGGUACCCAAUUCCUCUUACAGACUCCUCCAACACCUUGAGGUAAAAUGAUUGUCACGAUCGGAUACAAUCGUUAACGGAACACCAUGUAACCUCACAAUUUCCUUUACAUAAUAAUUUCGCAAGUUUAUCCAUAGACCAUUUCUCGUUAGCGGCCAUGAAAUGCGCAUUCUUAGUGAAGCGAUCAACGACCACCCAAAUCAUGUCGUGACCGUUCCUUGUUCUGGGCAGUUUAGUCACAAAAUCCAUGGUGAUGUCUUCCCAUUUACCCAUGGGUACGGGUAAAGGUUCUAAACUCCCAUACGGUUUCUGAUGUUGUGCCUUAACCCUAGCACAAGUUACACACUCGGCCACAUACUUAGCAACAUCGAGCUUCAUCGUCGGCCACCAAUAAUAGGGUUUUAGAUCCCUAUACAUUUUCGUACUGCCGGGAUGAAUUGAGUACAUGGUCUUGUGAGCUUCUUCCAUCAGAAGAUCUCUUAUUCUGCCCGUCUUAGGUACCCAAAUUCUAUCUUGAAAUACCUUCAACCCUUGGUUGUUUGUACCGAACACUAACGUUUUGCCCAAACGUUCUUCCUUUCGAUCAUUUUUCUCUAAAGCUUCCUCUUAAGCUUUCUUUAUACUUUCCACAAUUGUAGAGAAAACUUCAAUUCUCAACGCCCUUGGCCUUUUCUUUUCGAGGUUCACCUUCCGACUGAGAGCAUCAACAUCAACAUUUGCUUUACCGGGGUGGUAAAGUAUCUCACAGUCGUAGUCCUUGAGUAACUCUAGCCAGCGUCGUUGCCUCAUGUUCAAUUCCUUCUGAUUAAAGAGAUAUUGGAGACUCUUAUGAUCAGUGAAAAGUUUACACUUGGUGCCAUAAAGAUAAUGCCUCCAUAUCUUUAGGGCGAAUACUACCGCUGCCAACUCCAAAUCGUGAGUGGGGUAGUUCUUUUCAUGCUCUUUCAAUUGCCUCGAUGCAUACGCUAUCACCUUAUCCCUUUGGGUCAGAACACAUCCUAACCCAACUCCAGAGGCAUCACUAUAAACUGUGAAGUCAUCAACUCCUUUAGGUAACGAAAGAAUCGGUGCUUCACACAACUUCUUCUUUAACUUCUCAAAGCUUCCUAUGCUUCUCAUUCCAAGUAUAGACAGCUCCUUUGUGGGUCAAAGCUGUCAAUGGAGUCGCGAUCGAAGAAAAGCCUUGGAUAAAUCAGUGAUAAUAUCCAGCUAAUCCUAAAAAGCUUCAGAUCUCCAUAGGACUUUCAAUCGUAACCUUCGAGUUACAAAAUAAAUCCUUAUUGAGGACUCCUUCUUUUUCUUGUAAUAAGUACUUUCCUUCAUUUAUUGUAACAGACCGAUGGGUCAUGUUCUAAUGAUCUCUCAUUGUAUACUGCACUACUUAGACUCGGAUCUCCUAGGAACAAUUUUUGGAACAAACUACACCUUCCUUCAUGUUCUAAUGUGAUACAAUCACAGUUCAACAUGUAUCAUUCCUAAAUAUCAACUUCUUUAACAAUGAGUGUGAUACUUCUGUUGAUCGCUUUAAUCAUCUUUCACCUCAAUCUUCCGGCUUAAGUCAAAUGCUACAUCGAACUUGGUUCUCUGAACCACGUAACAUACUCAUCUUAGUCGGACUCGAUUCAAUAUGACCUCUAAGGUCGGAAUAACAAUCAUCUUCUUAGUCAUUACCGAAACGAUGGUAACGACAGACUAGAAUAAAAUGGAAUCAAAUAAUAGCUCCUUGGUAACCUUGUGACUUUCCCUGAUCCAAGUACGAGUCCUGUGCUUCCGGUAGUAUAGGCCUCUACUACCAUUCGCACCUACUCAUACUCGUCCCAAGUAUUGUCUCGCAGUUCUCCAAAUCGCCAUACAAGAAUUUCACAUAGCCAUUCAAUUCAUCAUAUGACAAAACCAGGGUUUAUAUUAUUUCCUUGAAACGAUUACACAAAGGUUCAAGUUUACCCCAUACUAUGCCUCUAAUAGGCUAAACCACUUGUUACUAUUCACAUUAUUACUUUAUAACUUGAUCUUCUUCUUUUGCAGCCUCAAGUGUCAUCUGAAAGGCUCUCGCCUUCGGCUUUAGUGGUAGAUUGGACUUUGCAGCAUCCUUCCUCUUCAGACAGUCUUUAAAAACAUGCCCUUCAUCAUGGCACUCAAAACAUACCCUUUUGUCGGACGAACACACGUUGGCAUAAUGCCCAGUCUUUCCACAUUUGAAGCAAGUCACCUCCUCACUACAUUUCCCUGAGUGCUUUUUCUUGCACUUCUCACACCACUUCAUUUCACCUCCUCCUCUAAACUUCUUAAACUUAGAAAAUUUGCUUUUCUUGCUGGAACCUGAAGUUCCUUCAAAUUUUCUUUUCUCACCAACUUCUGCCCUCUCCAAACCCUUCUCUCUGAUCUGAACCUCAAUGUUCUUAGCAGCCCAGAUGGCGGCUUUCAAAGUGGUUGCUUGCUUAACCAUCAGACCAAAGUCCGCUGGUAAUCCGAGGGCAAAAUUGUUGACCUUAGAGAGUUCAGUUGGAACUAGAUGAGGAACAAGCUUCAUCUUUUCCGUAAAACUAGCAGGGUAUUUAGUAACGCUCAUCUUUCCCUUCUUUAAAUUCUGGAACUCAUUGUUGAUUUCAAGAAGAUCCUGCUCAGAGCAGUAUUGCAGUUUCAGUUGUAGUACAAAGUCUUCCCAAGACAUCUUACUAGCUUUUCCCUUGGGCAUCGAAUUAGCUAGUAACUUCCACCAGUUCAACACACCAGAAUUUAACAGAAGAAUUGCAAGUGCGGUCUUUUGUUUGUUACUGCACUCACAGCUUUCAAACAUCAUCUCCAUUUCGGAGAUCCAAUUCAUGACUUCCACCGGUGUCGAACUUCUAGAUAGACACGGCGGUUUAGAUGCCAUGAAAUCUUUGUAUUUGCACCCGCGUCCAUCAACUCCUCCAUCCUGGUUGUCUUGUCUAACUAUCGGUGGGUUGGCUUGACCAAGAGUCCCACUAUAGUUCCCUCCUAGUGAUUGCCUUUCAUUCAAUACGGGCUGUUCAACAUUCAUCGUAGUCUCUUCCCUAUGCUGUUGUAGUAAUCGCCUUGUCUCCUCCAUCUGGCGAUCUAACAUCAUCUACAUNUUUGCAUCAUUGCUUGUACCCCAGCCAUCGUCAUUGGCUCAGGUGCAGCUCCUACAACAGCUACUUACUCAACUACUUGAGGUUGAGGCUGUUGAUCCCUGUUUCCAUUUGCAUUUGCAAAUCCACUACGUGUUCUCGCCAUUACAAUCUAUAUACCAUAUAAGGCGAAUUUAGGUCUUUACCCUCGAUAGGUAUUUAAAUUCCCUUAUCACUCCGAAACGUUUACAUGUUAUUUCUAGUCUCGUAAUCGUACGGUUAGAAUCCUACACACAUAAGGUUUCUAGAUUCGGUCGGCAACAGACCAUAGAUCCGAAUUAACAAAUGAUGGCAUAUAUGGAAAACAUAUAACAUUUAGCACAUAAGGGCAUUUUAGGCAUCUUUCCUAAAAUAAACUAGUGCUCGUGUCUAAAAUAUGGUAGACACUCAUCUCACAAUCAUCACUUAGCAUUCUAAGUUUAAGUCUAGAAAUCCUACAAUUUCUUAGUUCGCUUAAACUAAUGCUCUGAUACCAACUGUGACAUCCCCUAAUUUCUCGGCCAGAAAAGACCGAUUUAAUUUAUGCUUUUUAAAAUAAAAUCAGAGAAAUCUUUUUAAAAGAUGUUGCAGAAUUGCUCCCCAAACAACAUAUGAUAANUUUUCUCUAUAUAUAUCAAAACCUCGGGAUGUCAUGUUCCGAUACAGAUCAAAAGCAUAAACAAGACAUUAUAAGCCUUUCAACAGUUAUUUACAAUUACUGGCCUAUAAUCCAAUAAUCUCUCUUCGUCCUCCGACUAUGCUCGGGGUCCACUACCUGUAACAUAAACAGUUGAGUGGGUCAGGCUUGGGAGCCUGGUGAGCAUAUAAGGUUUUCAACCCAUAGUAAUAAUAAACUUUAUUAAGUUCACCAAUCAACAAUAACCCUGAUUACCCAUUCCUAUUAUCCUCACUUUACGUCCCUAAACACUUUUCACAAGGGACCUAGUCCAAAGAAUAUCAUCGGGAUGGACACUACUACUAAGGGGUUUCCUCAUCCAUACAUGUCCUAAAGGAAACCAUGAGGGGGAUGGAGUACAACGAAUGAACACCCAAGUUCAUUAACACCUACAGGUUGCGGACCUGCUAAUGUUUCCCACAGGACCAUCUAGAAAGUCUGUGAUCGUCAUCCAAAGUCCGCUAGAUGACUUGAUCUCAAAACACAUCGAGGCCUCUCAUUACUUUUAUUUUAUCACACAUCACUAUCUACCCAACAUAUUUGUAGAUAAAAAUACAUAUACAGUUUAAAACUUGUAUAAAACAUCAACUCAAUAGUCACCUCAAAUAAACAAUUAAUAUAUUUACACAUAGCACAUAUUAUAAGGUAAAUACUUCAUAUCUAUGUGUAAAAUGAAAGUGACUAUACACUCACAUGAUUUGAUGAUAAUC
rnacentral:lncRNA from 1 species